AGGACGAACGCUGGCGGCGUGCUUAACACAUGCAAGUCGAGCGGAAAGGCCCUUCGGGGUACUCGAGCGGCGAACGGGUGAGUAACACGUGAGCAACCUGCCCUUGGCUCUGGGAUAGCCUCCGGAAACGGGGAUUAAUACCGGACAUUCACUUUCUCCUGCAUGGGGGGUUGGUGGAAAGUUUUUCGGCCAGGGAGGGGCUCGCGGCCUAUCAGCUUGUUGGCGGGGUAACGGCCCACCAAGGCGACGACGGGUA
rnacentral:rRNA from 1 species